rnacentral:rRNA from 1 species
AGAUUGAACGCUGGCGGCAUGCCUUACACAUGCAAGUCGAACGGUAGAGUAGCAAUACUUGAGAGUGGCGAACGGGUGGGUAAUAUAUCGGAACGUGCCCAGUCGUGGGGGAUAACGUAGAGAAAUUUACGCUAAUACCGCAUACGAUCUAAGGAUGAAAGCGGGGGACCGUAAGGCCUCGCGCGAUUGGAGCGGCUGAUAUCAGAUUAGGUUGUUGGUGAGGUAAAAGCUCACCAAGCCGACGAUCUGUAGCUGGUUUGAGAGAACGACCAGCCACACUGGGACUGAGACACGGCCCAGACUCCUACGGGAGGCAGCAGUGGGAAUUUGGACAGUGGCGAAAGCCUGACUCCAGUCAAUGCCGCGUGCGAAGGAAGAAGGUCCGUUCGGGUUCGACUAAACUGUCGUUUUUAGGUAACGGUAACGAAACGGU